rnacentral:rRNA from 1 species
GAUGAACGCUAGCGGCAGGCCUAAUACAUGCAAGUCAAGGGGCUCAGCAAUGGGCACCGGCGGACGGGUGCGUAACGCGUACACAACAUACCUUUAAGUGGGGGAUAGCAUUGGGAAACUGGUGGUAAUACCCCAUAAUAAUAUUGAGAGGCAUUUCCUGAUAUUUAAAGCUCCGGCGCUUAGAGAUUGGUGUGCGUCCGAUUAGCUAGUUGGUAGGGUAACGGCCUACCAAGGCGACGAUCGGUAGGGGGUGUGAGAGCAUGACCCCCCACACGGGUACUGAGACACGGACCCGACUCCUACGGGAGGCAGCAGUAAGGAAUAUUGGACAAUGGAGGGAACUCUGAUCCAGCCAUGCCGCGUGAAGGAUGAAGGCGCUCAGCGUUGUAAACUUCUUUUGGAUGGGAACAAUAACUUCUACGUGUAGGAGCUUGAGGGUACCAUCAGAAUAAGCACCGGCUAACUCCGUGCCAGCCGCCGCGGUAAUAC